rnacentral:rRNA from 1 species
AUACGUAGGUGACAAGCGUUAUCCGGAUUUACUGGGCGUAAAGGGCGUGUAGGCGGUCUUGCAAGUCAGAAGUGAAAUUCCUGAGCUCAACUCGGGCGCUGCUUCUGAAACUGCAGGACUUGAGUGCUGGAGGGGAUAGCGGAAUUCCUCGUGGAGCGGUAAAAUGCGCAGAUAUUCGGAAGAACAACGGUGGCGAAGGCGGCUAUCUGGACAGUAACUGACGCUGAGGCGCGAAAGCGUGGGGAGCAAACAGGAUUAGAUCCCCUGGUAGUCCACGCCGUAAACGAUGAAUACUAGGUGUAGGGGGUAUCGACUCCCUCUGUGCCGCAGUUAACACAAUAAGUAUUCCGCCUGGGGAGUACGGCCGCAAGGUUGAAACUCAAAUGAAUUGGCGGGG